rnacentral:rRNA from 1 species
CCUACGGGGGGCUGCAGUGGGGAAUAUUGGACAAUGGGCGCAAGCCUGAUCCAGCCAUGCCGCGUGAGUGAAGAAGGCCUUCGGGUUGUAAAGCUCUUUCAGACGGGAAGAUGAUGACGGUACCGUCAGAAGAAGCCCCGGCUAACUUCGUGCCAGCAGCCGCGGUAAUACGAAGGGGGCUAGCGUUGUUCGGAAUUACUGGGCGUAAAGCGCGCGUAGGCGGCUUUGUCAGUCAGGGGUGAAAUCCCGGGGCUCAACCUCGGAAUUGCCUUUGAUACUGCAAGGCUUGAAUCCGUGAGAGGGUGGUGGAAUAUCCAGUGUAGAGGUGAAAUUCGUAGAUAUUGGAUGGAACACCAGUGGCGAAGGCGGCCACCUGGCACGGUAUUGACGCUGAGGUGCGAAAGCGUGGGGAGCAAACAGGCUUAGAUACCCCGGUAGUC